rnacentral:lncRNA from 1 species
GCCUGCAUUCGCUCGCCCGGCGCCACACCCACCCACCUUGAGCCUCUCAUUUCCACCCGCUAGACUCGACACUUACUGCGCCUUGGCCGCGACGCGGAGGCCCCUCUGCACGGAGGAGAGCUUGGCGAGGGCGGGCACGGUGAGGUCGGGGCGAGCCGCGGCGACGGCGCCCGCGACAGCCUUGGCCUGCUGCUGGAAGAUGCCCGCAACCUUGGAGGUCUUGUCGCCCACGGUGACGGCGACGGCGGUGGGGUUCUUCUUCUUGGAGUAGUCCGCGGGGUACUUGAACGCGUUCACGCCGACGGGGGUGGACGCGGCGAUGCCUGCGCGGCGGUCGGGGGAGAGGAGGAGAGGUGAGUCGACGCCCGGGGAACGAACAAAAAACCCUACUGCAACAGGGUGGAACAAAUCGCGAGAUGUUUUUUCCCCGCGGGUUGGUUAGGGUUUUACGCUAUGCGACGCGCGUCCGGUCGAUCGGAGACCCCACGCGCGUCGCACAGCACCCCUUGGAUACGCAAUGAUCGG